AGAACGAACGCUGGCGGCAUGCCUAAUACAUGCAAGUCGAACGAACUCUUCGGAGUUAGUGGCGCACGGGUGCGUAACGCGUGGGAAUCUGCCCCUUGGUUCGGAAUAACAGUUGGAAACGACUGCUAAUACCGGAUGAUGACGAAAGUCCAAAGAUUUAUCGCCGAGGGAUGAGCCCGCGUAGGAUUAGCUAGUUGGUGAGGUAAAGGCUCACCAAGGCAACGAUCCUUAGCUGGUCUGAGAGGAUGAUCAGCCACACUGGGACUGAGACACGGCCCAGACUCCGUACGGGAGGCAGCAGUAGGGAAUAUUGGACAAGUGGGCGAAAGCCUGAUCCAGCAAUGCCGGCGUGAGUGAUAGGAAGGCCGUUUAAGGGUUGUAAAGUCCUUACGUUUUACCCGAGUAUAGUAAUAAUGACAAGUUAGUACGGGAAGAAUAACGGACCCCGGACUUAACCGUCCGACCG
rnacentral:rRNA from 1 species